UGUGCAGAAGGAUCCUGUUGUGGCGUUUGCUUUGCUGAGAAGCAAAUCUGUCAUUAAUUUUGGCAGUCCAUGUUGGAACCAUCUCAUGAAGAUCACCUGCUAAUUUUUAGCUUCUCCUUGGUGGCUCCUGGCACAAUUUAACCUCAGAUCUUUGACCAGCUAUGAGUCUGUGCACGAACUGCUGCUUACUGAAAAAUAAGGUCUCCUUGCUCAAGGAUGAGAGCAGCAUUCAUUUACGGAAAGAAUUGCUGGCACAGCUGCCUGAGUAGAAAGGAUCGCUUUCAGCAAGCUCAGCUAUUCACCAUGGCAGUCAUUCAUCGCUAUGAAGAAAUACAUUGAGUGCCUAUUUAUAUGUCCUUUAUGGCUUUGGUCUGAAUGGGAAAGAGUGUGCUAUAGAAGGCUGGUAACCAGAGACAGGUAAGAGUGUUCUUGAGCUCCUCCUAUUGGCCUAAGACAGAGGCAUACAUCAAAAAGCUGUUUGUUUUCCCUGACAGUAGCAAUAUAGCCACUGACCUAAGAUAGGCACGGUCACCUAGCCAUCCUUUACAGGAUUAUGGAAAACAAGUAAAUCUUGUCCCCCUCUAUCCCUCGCCUCCAGCUCAUCCUUAAAAAACAAAAAAUGGGGAAUUGUGCCCUUCCCCCAGCCUUGAGUAGGCUAAAUAUAUCUUAAGUGCUUGCCACAGUUGGACCUUAAGGACCCAAGUGGAGUCUUUCCCCUUGCCACAUCUGCAAUUUCCUAUAGGACCCUUGAGGAACUGGUUGCCUGCUGAGCUUGCUUUGCAACAUAAUCCAGCUGCGCCAAAGGAUGGGGUCUGUGGGGUUUCCCUAUAUAAAUGCAGUGCUGAAUAUUAAACUUUGAUCCUUGAUCAGAAACUUUGUCUUGGCUUCAUCCUUC